UNCAGACAGUAGCCCAGAUAGUACACCUGUG
rnacentral:piRNA from 1 species